GAGAACUACAACCUCCCCUGAUAAGGCCACAAGAUUUUAUUUAGGUAAUAAGGAUCACACUAUUCCGAUGAGAUUCUUAUUCCUUAGAAAAAAGGUCAGGACUCCCCAAAAUAAAUUAUCACAUAGUCCCUGAAUUUUGACAUUAUUAACUCUUUAAUCUCUAUAUUACUUUAGUCCAUCCAUACACUUCAAAUACAUUUAACCAUUAGUUAGAAUAGAAAAGACUUGAUCUAUUUUUUAAAAUAAAAAUACAGAGACUUAAGUAAUUAAUAAUAUCAAAACUCAUGGACCAUAUAAUAAUUUACCGUUUAGAAAAUUAACCAUGUUGAGUUCGCAUGCAUAUCUGCAUUACAAAAUCGCACUAUGGCGACACAACAUCAGCAAUGCAGUGUUACAAAUUGAUACCGAAAGAACCCUGAAAAACUUUCAAAAUUCAUGGAUUAACACCUGCAGCAGAUCCAACAAUUCACACCAGUAAUUCAAUCCAAUCCCAACCUAGCAGGUAGCAGAAAUGGAUACUAAUAUGGUCACCUCUGGGCCCCAGGUUUUUAGUAUGGAUAACCAGAAGUGCAUUCCGUGUCCUUCCAGGAUAUCAUCUUCCUGCGAUCCCUUCCUCUAAAUGAUCUGGCAAGAAGCCUACCACUAACAGGCUUACACAUGCCAACAUCAACCACAGAAGUACUCCUUUUUUCACAUGGAGAUGCAUCAUCCAUUAAAUAGUCAAACAACAUUGCUAGAUAGCCCACCUGAUGAGAUAAGAUAUAGUUUUCUUGAUCCAAAGGUAGCAUCCUUAGCAUGAAAAGAUUGACCUCUGCUUCCAUGGCACGGAGUUCAUUGCACCAUUCAGAGCCAUCACUCUCAACAUGAUUUUCUCCACUAGAGCUAAGACUCACAGCAAAAAGAGGAGGCCUAAGAGGAUACUCCAUGCUGAUUUUAAUCUUUGCUUCUAACUUAAUAUUCCUCCUUGUUAAGACAAGAGAAUAUUCUUUAACCCCAUAAUCCACCCAUGGGUUUUCGACUAUCUUAUGGCAAGCUUCAUUUUCUGCUUCUAGCUCGAGUGGUGCAAGCUCAUCCAGAUCACUAUCAAUGUCCAGCAACAUAUCGGAAUCCUCAUCAUGUUUCUUGAAACUUAGUGAUUUCGUCUUAUUAAUAGGGGAUAUAAUACUCUUUGAAAUUAAAGCCAGCUGCCUGCUAUGCUCUAGAUUAGAUAUUUUUGAAGGAGUAAGCUUAACAUCAUUCACAAUAGAAGCAACCAAGGAUGGAAGCUCUCCAUCUUCCCUAGCACUCUCUGACUCUUCCUUUGAAGUACGAGAUCUUCGGUCCACAUCAGCAUCCAUGGGUUCCUGAACUUGAUCUGUGUCAAUGACAGGCACAGAUGAAGUCUGAUUGGGUGGGGGCCCAGCAGGUGACCAACCAUUCAAAUUGCAUAAGGGAGUAUGUAAAGCCCAUGGAACAUUUUCACAAUUCAAACAAGGCCAUUUAAGCUUCACAAGUGAAUCAAGCUGUUCCCUGUAAACCAAUGAAAGAAUUCCAAAUUUUCAACAUAAAACAUACCUUUUCACAAGAAUAAACAAGACAUAAGGGAGCUUCCAAAAUGAACAUUAAUAAAAGAUCUCGAUUAAUAAGCCAAAAGAGACAAAAACAAGUCAUAAGAAAGUAGAGAAGAUUGGAACUACAAAAGAUUCAUAACAUUAACCACUUCAUAUAAGAUAAAAGAUGCCAACUGCAGUACUAGCCAAGUGAACAAAGCCGUAAAAGCUAAUAUUAGAUUUGAUCACAUUGUUGCAUCUACCCCCUACUAAAUUGGCUAAUCUUCUGCUAAUGGUCCAUGACUCCAAAGAUACAGAAGUGACUCACACAAGAGCCAGCUGAGCCCUUUUCCGAGAACGAAUUCUUUGCACGACAGUUUGCACCCGAUUUUGUUGACGAUAUAGCGAUAAACCAGAUACAAUAACUUCAUUUUUUGUUGCUUCACUGUUUGCAGUUUCAUGGCCACUAAGCAAUGGCGCAAUCUCAGGUAAGAAAUCAAUCCCUGCCAAAUGCUGCGCCCACUUAUAAGGACGUGAAGUUCUAGUUUCAUCAAAUGCAGGGGGAUCUCCAACAAAGAGCUUAGCUGACUGAUGAGGAAGCUCAACACCAGUGUCAUCAGGAAAUAAGUUGCAUAAGAUGUUAUUCUCAGGUCCUUCAUGAGAUCCCUCAACCCCAACACAAACAAUAUUCAACUUGAACAAGUAUUCAAACUUCAAAGUGAUAAGCUUUGCAGAUUUUGGAUCGGAAACCUCAUCAUCAUAUACAUGGAGUAUGAUCUUAAGUGGAUGAACUUGCAAUACUCCUACAUGGUCCAGACUCUCCUUGCUUGGAACCCUCUUUGGCCGUUUUCUCCUUCUCUGGCCAUCAUCUUCCUCGUCAGGUGCAUCAUCCUCCAACCUGGAACUCUCUACAGUGGAAGAUAUGCCUGUAUCUUUAUUUGCCUGCUGACGGGCAAAAGCUUGAGCAUCUUUCAGACUCCCCACAAUCUCCAGAUCAAUAUGUUCUCCAAAGGCUUCCUUUUGUGCCAGGAACUGUGUGUAAAUCACAUAAAGAGGAGGAGGAAGUAACUCUGCUGAGUUUUGCUGCUUUAAUUUCUUUGUAUGCAGAACCCCUAAUUGGUUCUGUACAGGCAAGGAUGCCUUCUUGAGUGAUUUGAGGUGUGAGGGGAGACUUGAUAAGAACUUCUUCCGGUUUGCAAUGGUCUCCAACAAACUUUUCUUACGUUGUUCCAGUUUCUCAUGAAGUUUGCACAGUUCCUUGCGCUGGUGCAGCUCAUAAUUGAGCCUCUUGAGCAUCAAAUUAUGUGAAGUAUCGUCAGACAAAACAGGACCUUUGAUAUUUUCAGGCGCAUCACGGAAAAAUUCUUCUUCCGGAACAAGCUCAAUAUCAGGAUAUUUAGACUUGAAAUCUUUACAAGCUUUUAUAGCUUUAACAUAGUGGCUCUUCUCAUACAUCAAAUUAUGAAGCUGCAAAGUCGUGAAAUCCACCGGCGCCUUUGCACGUUCCGUCUCCGCUUUCACUCUAUCCUCUUCCAAUAGAAUCGAGCGGUUCGCCUGGCGGAGAGUGACGAAGUGGAGAAAAAUUUGGGUGACGAGUUCGCGGAGCUCCGAUUUAGGCUUGUUUUCUUUCUUUAUGGUGAGAAUCUGGGCUACGAUUUCCUCCACUGAGACUUUGCCUUCUCGCAGCAUUUCGUAGGGUGACUUCCCAUUCUUAGGCUGCGUUGUUAACUGUGCAUCCUCUUCCAUCGCCACUCCCUCCACUAUCUCUCCGUCCUCCAUACUCUUCUUCUCCUCAGUUGCUCGGGUGUUCUCUUUUUACCUCGGCUUCUGUAAAAUCUGGUCAAGGGCUUAUUUUCUUCUCAAUGAAUUGGAGGGUUGAUUUUCGCCGGCUGCCUCUCCCGUUGUUUCAUUAAUCUCUAUUCA
rnacentral:misc_RNA from 1 species